CUAUUGCAUACAGUAUAAGAAAAACAGACCAAAACACAAAAACUUAACUAUAACCACUGAACCAUGAAAAUGAGGUCAAGGUCAGAUGACACCUGCCAGCUAGACAUGUACACCUUACAAUCAUUCCAUACACCAAAUAUAGUAGACCUAUUACAUACAGUAUAAGAAAAACAGACCAAAACACAAAAACUUAACUAUAACCACUGAACCAUGAAAAUGAGGUCAAGGUCAGAUGACACCUGCCAGCUAGACAUGUACACCUUACAAUCAUUCCAUACACCAAAUAUAGUAGACCUAUUGCAUACAGUAUAAGAAAAACAGACCAAAACACAAAAACUUAACUAUAACCACUGAACCAUGAAAAUGAGGUCAAGGUCAGAUGACACCUGCCAGCUAGACAUGUACACCUUACAAUCAUUCCUUACACCAAAUAUAGU